rnacentral:rRNA from 1 species
UGUAGGUGAACCUGCGGAAGGAUCAUUAUCGAGCCAAGAAAAAAAAAGUCUCCAAACGUGCAUAACUACCAUUUGCGCGUAAAUGUGAGCCAUAUAGUAAGUUGCACACAUGUGGUGGUGAAAGAGCAGUCAGCUGGUUCUGGCAGACAAUUGCAUGUGACUUGCUAUGUGUUGAGGGGAAAUGAGUGACAUACUGGGCUAGUUAGAAAGGUAUGCCGCUAGUGCUCAUUUUCCCGUUAUUUCGUAAUAACGGUGUCCAAUUUGGCGUCUACGCCUCACCGAGCUAUCGCCUGGACCGUCGAUAGCGAUGAAAGGUGGGGAGAAAGCUCCUCAUUAUUGAGUUGAGUAGACUUAAUGAGCUUCGACAAGGAGGCCGCCAAAACCCAAAAACACAAUCACUCUUGUGAAUUUCUUUUAUCGAAAGAUAUCUCAUAUCUUAAUUUUUGUACAAAUCUUAGCGGUGGAUCACUUGGUUCGUGGAUCGAUGAAGAACGCAGCUAGCUGCGAUAAAUAGUGCGAAUUGCAGACACAUUGAGCACUAAAAUUUCGAACGCACAUUGCGCCAUCGGGUUCAUUCCCGUUGGCACGUCUGGCUGAGGGUUGAAAUAUUGGAAAAGGGCGCCCGUUUAUGAAAUGACUCAUUCGUCGAACGCUCAUAUAACGGCAUAUUCGGUGAGCUAUGAAAAUUUUUAUUGCUAUUGUACCUUACCAAGCGGUAAAUAUUCACAUCCAUUAUCAUUUGCUCAAAUGAGAUGUGAAAUAGCCAUAACCGAUUGCUCUAUAAUGCGAUUUCCAGCACGUAUUGAUUCUAACAAUAUGGCUGAAUGGUUGAAGAUUGCAUAGCUAAAAAUAUACGAGCGUCAAUAAUGACUAUAAUGAAUUUUUUUGACCUCAGCUCAGUCGUGAUUACCCGCUGAAUUUAAGCAUAUAACUAAGCGGAGGAAAAGAAACUAAA